AGGCAUGGUCCCGGUCUCAGAUGGCCACCAUCCAACCUCUAGGCCCUUGGCUUCUCCCAGUGUCUUGUGCCCUGGGUAUUGGGGGCACCUGGCCUGUUGGCUUUGUGUCCCUUGUCCUUGGCCUUAGUAUCACUUAGCUCUGUGUGAGCCUGUUCUGUGUGAGCCUCUGGGUUCCUCUUGGUGGAGGAGAGACAAUCUUUGAAGACUUGAGGGGGCAUGAGUCAAGACAUGGACAGUGACCCAAGACAUCCAGGCAGUCUGCCACGGCCAGGUCACUUCCCCCAAACCCCUGGUGCCUGACACACUGGGCAGAUAGCUGACAUUGGACAUGUGUUCUCCCCAGCCUUUGCCCUCCACCUGGGUGUGAAAAGCGCUCGGUUCCAUGGGGCUGGAUCAGGCAACCAGAGAAGCCCACCCAGCCCCUGCCUUCUCGUCCCUUGAAGACAUCCUGUCCCCUCUCAGAACCCAGUCACAGGCUUGACUGAGCCCCUGGCCCGGAUCAGACCAGAUGAGUCCAGGCCCUCAGAGCCUACGUGUGUGGUGGCGAGGCUGGUAGCAGCAAGGAGACUCCGCAGUGUCUUUGGGCUGUCACAGGCUUUACUAAGCCUCCAGGCCUGAUCUGGGUUCUGACUCCUUCAUGAGCCUGACCCUCACCAGGCUGUAGAGCAGGCGAGGCCCUCAUUUGAUGGGACACAGCCGGUCCCUGGUAGCAGUGGUGGGGGACCCUUCUGUAGGGCUCUGACCACCUGGUACUGAAGUACCAAUUAUGCUCUCUGAGUGCUGGUUUCUUGUCACUCAGGUCUUAGCACAGAUGCCACCACCUGGGGGAGCCUGCUCAUCUGUAAGGACUUAUGUGCCCCUCACACCGCAGGGUCCAGCCCCAAGUGCUGGGCCUGCCGGGGUCCCUCGCAGGCAUGGCGCCCACCAGAAGAACUGAAAGAGCCAAGUAGAUCCUUCCACAUAAUGCUCACAGCAGCGGGGCUUGCAACAGCCAAAGGUGGGAAGCCCUGAGAUGGAUGGAUCUCGGCGUGACGGAAC
ensembl:lncRNA